UACGAAGGGGGCUAGCGUUGUUCGGAAUUACUGGGCGUAAAGGGCUCGUAGGUGGCCAACUAAGUCAGACGUGAAAUCCCUCGGCUUAACCGGGGAACUGCGUCUGAUACUGGAUGGCUUGAGGUUGGGAGAGGGAUGCGGAAUUCCAGGUGUAGCGGUGAAAUGCGUAGAUAUCUGGAGGAACACCGGUGGCGAAGGCGGGUCUCUGGGCAGUAACUGACGCUGAGGAGCGAAAGCGUGGGGAGCGAACAGG
rnacentral:rRNA from 1 species